rnacentral:snRNA from 1 species
GGAUGUGAGGGCGAUCUGGCUGCGACAUCUGUCACUGCAUUGAUCGCCAGGGUUGAUUUGGCUGAUCUGGUUGGCUAGGCGGGUGUCCCCUUCCUCCCUCAUGGCUCCAUGUGCAUCCCUCCUGAAGUGCCAUCUCUGAUAGAAGCAACCAUCCCGAUAGAGGAGGACCGUUCUUUGGUCAAGGGUAUUCGAGAAGCUGCACUCCCCUGCUAGAACAGCCAAACAAGCUCUCAUAGAUUAUAAGGUUUUUGCUUAAUUUCGUGAUGAUUUUCUACAUACCAUUUUACCUUUACGAGUCACAAGAAAAUUGUGUUUGUUGUUGACAGCUU